rnacentral:misc_RNA from 1 species
AAAUGCGAUAAGUAAUGUGAAUUGCAGAAUUCAGUGAAUCAUCGAAUCUUUGAACGCACAUUGCGCCCGCCAGUAUUCUGGCGGGCAUGCCUGUUCGAGCGUCAUUUCAACCAUCAAGCCCCGGGCUUGUGUUGGGGACCUGCGGCUGCCGCAGGCCCUGAAAAGCAGUGGCGGGCUCGCUGUCACACCGAGCGUAGUAGCAUACAUCUCGCUCUGGGCGUGCUGCGGGUUCCGGCCGUUAAACCACCUUCGUAACACAAGGUUGACCUCGGAUCAGGUAGGAAGACCCGCUGAACUUAAGC